rnacentral:rRNA from 1 species
CCUACGGGUGGCAGCAGUGAGGAAUAUUGGUCAAUGGCCGGAACGCUGAACCAGCUACGCCGCGUGAAGGACGAAGGUGUCCAGCAUUGUAAACUUCUUUUGUCAAGGGACAAAAUCAGGCUCGAGAGCCUGACCGAGGGUCCUUGUAGAAACAGCAUCGGCAGACUCCGUGACAGCAGCCGCGGUAAUCCGGAGGAUGCGAGCGUUAUCCGGAGUUAUUGGGGUAAAGGGGUGGGUAGGCGGACUGUUAAGUUAGCGUGAAAAGCCCGGGGCUAAACCCCGGCGCGCCGUGGAAACUGGCUGUCUUGAGAUGUGGAGGGGUAGGCGGAAUGCUGAGUGUAGCGGUGAAAUGCUUAGAGAUUGCGCGGAACGCCGAUUGCGAAGGCAGCAUACCGGCGGCGAUCUGACGCUGAGGCACGAAAGCGUGGGGAUCGAACAGGAUUAGAUACCCGGGUAGUC